rnacentral:rRNA from 1 species
UACAGAGGGGGCAAGCGUUGUUCGGAAUUACUGGGCGUAAAGGGCGCGUAGGCGCCUUCUAAGUCAGACGUGAAAUCCCUCGGCUCAACCGGGGAACUGCGUCUGAGACUGGAAGGCUUGAAUCCGGGAGAGGGAUGUGGGAAUUCCAGGUGUGAGCGGUGAAAUGCGUAGAUGUCUGGAGGAACACCGGUGGCGAAGGCGGCAUCCUGGACCGGUAUUGACGCUGAGGCGCGAAAGCCAGGGGAGCAAAGCGGG